rnacentral:rRNA from 1 species
UACAGAGGGGGCAAGCGUUAUUCGGAAUUAUUGGGCGUAAAGAGCUCGUAGGCGGUCUGUUGCGUCGGCUGUGAAAACCCGGGGCUCAACUCCGGGCCUGCAGCCGAUACGGGCAGACUAGAGUUCGGCAGGGGAGACUGGAAUUCCUGGUGUAGCGGUGAAAUGCGCAGAUAUCAGGAGGAACACCGGUGGCGAAGGCGGGUCUCUGGGACGGUACUGACGCUGAGACGCGAAAGCGUGGGGAGCGAACAGG